AUGUUAAGCUACUGUAAGGAGCAUCAUUUCAGGGCCUCACAAUGCAUUUUUAUAAACAUAGGGUCAGACUUCACCACCUGGCAGCCCAGCCCAGCUACUUUCCCUUCCUCUAUCCCAGAAGGUGCAGCAGACGGAGGAGGUCCUGGCUGCAGUGAAGCAAUGGGAUCCUUGAGUCUCGUAGGAGUGGAGGGUGGAGGUGUGAGGCUGAGUGGGACUGGGUGCUGGGAAGGGGUGACAGGUGUGCAGCUUCCAAUUCUAGGGUGGAAAUUAAGCAGGCAAUGAUCCUAGGAAAAGAGGCAUGGUGAGACAUGGGAGAAGGGUGGAGAGAGGAAAAAAAAAAAAAAAAGUGAAUAAGACCUGCUUGCCCUGCCAGACUUCCACAGCUCCCUUAAACCUUUCAUUCAUCCUGCUCAGAGCCCUUCAGACUUCACUGACCCCCAGUUCCUCCAGGAGGAUGAAGUUUCCCCUGACCUCUUCCAAUCCCACCCACAUACCUGUGAGACCAUUAGUGAUCUCCAUCCUAGCCCCUCUGCUCAGUCUUCUCCAAAGCCCGUCAGUCCUCAUGUAGCACCUGGAUGGCCUUUCCUCACCACCCAGUGGCCUUUCCUACCCCAGGAGCCUGGGCUAGUCACUCUUAAUUACAUUGCCAGGAACCCCCACGUGAGCUUGACUGGCUGCACUAACCUUGCUCCUGGUGGGGAGUCUUUUCUCACCCAGCACAGCCCUUUGAAGUCAGCAGGGCUGUUUUUGUGUGGAAGUGCUCACCGCUGAGAUGAAGGAGUGCAUAAUCAAAUCCAAAGUAUUCUGCUCUGGCACUGUCAUCCGCCACACUUCUCCCAGAGCCCAGUCAAUACACAUUUAUGGGUCUGCAUCUAGGUGCUCUGCAUAACUGGUGAAGAUAAUUAUUCCAGUCUUUCAGUCUUUUUCACCACUACCACUCUCUGUCCCUGUUCUCCUAUAGUGAGGAAUCCCAUAAUGAAGACAUACUGUAAAGUUUACAUGAGACAGUGUUUCUUCUGUAUCUUGGUUUUCCAAUACUAUCUUCUAUCUGAUACCAGGCUUCAAAGUUGAAAAGUAAUGUUAUAUUCAAUGAUCAGUGACCAUGGGGUUGACAAUAUCCUUGUAAUAUGUGAUAGUUUUUUG
rnacentral:lncRNA from 1 species